rnacentral:misc_RNA from 1 species
AACGCACAUUGCGCCCGCCAGUAUUCUGGCGGGCAUGCCUGUCUGAGCGUCAUUUCAACCCUCAUGCCCCUAGGGCGUGGUGUUGGGGAUCGGCCAAGGCCCGCAAGGGACGGCCGGCCCCUAAAUCUAGUGGCGGACCCGUCGUGGCCUCCCCUGCGAAGUAGUGAUAUUCCGCAUCGGACAGCGACGAGCCCCAGCCGUUAAACCCCCCAAAUUUUACAAGGUUGACCUCAGAUCAGGUAGGAAUACCCGCUGAACUUAA